UACCAUGAACGAAACAUUCUGUGUUUUUCUGGAGGUAGAGAUCUCACAACAGAUGUAAGACUUCUUUCAAACUAUCUAAAUUAUGCACUGAAAGUGGUAUUCACCAUAUAAAAUAUUCAUUAUACAUGGAUCUUGCCAAUAUCAUAUUUUCCAGUUUAUUAUAUCCUCUUCUCAGAGAUAACAUGUGACAUAACAACAAUUUAAAAUUUUACACUUAAACCACUUUCUAAGUUACGUUCUCCCUCUCUGUUUCUUUAUACCCAAAGGAAGAAAUAAGCCUUGGAAUAGGUACACUAAGAUAACCAGUUUCUAGGGAAGAUUCCAGUAGAGACUAAGCCUUGAAGCAUUCAGACAAGGCUAAAUCACAGAAAUGGAAAAACAGUCUAUGAGCCACAGUUCAAAAAGCCUAUAAGCUCUUUCUUUCUAAGAAUCAAUAAUGUACAUCUCUCAAGCAAUACAAGCUCAUUUCCCUAGUGUAUAGCAUCUUAGCAACUUCAUUAAAAGCAUGAAGAUACUAAAGAAGUUCUCAGAUGUCAUAAAUACUCUGUCACUUGAGCAGUAAGUAACCUUUGGAUGCUAUGAAGGAGAAUGAUAAGAACAUUAUUUAGCUUCUAAUUUUUUUCUUUUUAUUUUCUUCCUGCUUUUCCUUUGUGCUCCGUACAAUUGGCACCUGGAUUACUUCCAGAAUGGGAAAAUCAAGCUACAGUAAAUGGAUGGACUGAAUAUAUCAGAGAAAGAAAUGUUUAGCCACAAGGUCUUUCCAGCUGGAAGUACCAUAGUUCUGCAAGGAAGCAACAGAGAUGGCAAAGAGGAAUGUUGGAGGUGGACUACAGAGUGAACUCAAAUUUAUAAAAUGAGCUAAAGGUAAAUCUCCUUCUGUGGAUGAAUGGAGUGACUCUUGGGAUAUAUAUCAUAUGCCAGAAAUUUGUGAUUCUACAUUGUCCCUGUAUCAUGCUCAUUUCAACCAAUCAGCAAGGGAGGAACCUUAAAGUAUUCCAGUGGAUUAUUAGAUGGAAAAACAUUUUUCAAUUUUCUUUUUUUCCUGCCUCUUGCCCCUUCUGUGAUUUUAAAGAUAGGGAUUGAUAAUUAUAUUUUAAAACUAAAUUUGCAAGCUUAGAAAAAUAAUUCUUAAACCAAAUCCUGCUUCCCACUUCCCCCUUCCCCAAUGUCAGUGUUUAUCCACAAGAGUGGGUCACACGCCUUGGCUGGAAAAGUCACCAGCUAGUCAUGCCGUGACCCUUUUUGUCACAUACAGUCAUCAAAGAUCUUCUGCAAAGGUAAUUUGGGUCUCUUCUUUCUUCCUGUUGGAAUAUACAUGAUCUUCUAUGUGUGCGAACUUGUCCGAGCCCUGGCUAUGACCCAGCUGAACCUCCAAGUUGUAGGGAAUUAUAUUCCCUAUAUUCAAAUGUGUGGUAGGAUACAACUGAGGAGACUGUGGUGAUUUAUGCAGGAAUACUUAAAUACUUAGGUUUCUAAUAGAGCCUCAUUUCCAGUUACAGUAAGUACACUUCCAGCUAGUAUUUACAGGUCUCUGAAAUGUUAAAAUAGUUGUGCUACAUCUGUAGAUUUAGGAUUACAUCUGCCAAGGAACAUGCAAGUCCACCUAUAGUUUCAAUGCCAUAUCUCUGUUUUUUCCAUGGCAAUAUUUUCUUCCUGUGAUGCAAUUACUGUUAACAUGAUAUUAUGGCAUUUUUUGAAUGCAUACUUUAAAAACUGGUAUUGUAUCUACACCAUCACUAGCACCGACACAAUAAAAGCUGUUUGGAAUUAAGAGAUAACUCUCAGCACAGCAAAAUGAUUUUCAAUUUGCUAACUAAUGCCUUGCUCAAUUACACAACUUUAUCUGAAAUUCACCUUCUAUAUCUGAGAGACUUCUGUGGAUGAGACAAAUUUUAAAUAGUGCUUUUCAGUUAUAAAACAAUAAAUAUCUGUUAUGAAAACAGCAGCAUAGAUUCAAUAAAGUGCCAAGUGUUAUCCACAGCCUGUGGAUGUGUUUGGCUUUACAGAGGGUGUCUGGGACAGAUUCUCUCCCUUGUGCUCACACAUGGUCUGUGAAUAGCAACGAGAAUCAUCCGUCACAGUGACAGAAGAGGAACUCUUGUGAUAUAGGUAAUAAACAACCGCAGUAUUGAACUCAAAAAUAGCAUUCACCGAUGAAGGAUUAAGAAGCAAGGUCAGAGAAAGAAAUAACACCAAGACUGAGAGGGGCAUAGACAAAAAUGUAUCUUUGAUGUUCUGCUAGGCAGAAUUUGGGGAUAACAACCUGAUUUUGUGUAAUAGCGAAUACCUACUGUUAUUUUCUCUCUGAGACUUGAUUAUAAGCAUGAAUGAGAAGAUUUAUUUUAAGGGCUUUUGAUUGAUUGGGCUGGGGGUGGAAGGAGGUGCAACCUGCUUUAGAAAGUGAGAUGCAAAAUUGAUACAGUUAUUAAUAAGCAUUUGUGGUUGCAUAAGCUUGGAACAGUAGCUGCUGGCAUGAAGACUGUGCUGUGCAAGGUGCCAUACAAAUGUAGAGAGACUGACAGCCCCUUGAGACUGACAGCUUUGAAGAACUGACCUCAGAAUCAAGGUGUCAAAUUCUUCUGUUUCUCUGCCUUGAGCUUAAGCUGCCCAGUUGGGCAGCGAGGUGCCUUCCUUAUGGUCACAGGUGUCUAACCCCACUGUGCCCUGUUCACAGGACCCUGCGUGUAAGGACUCAUACAGCUGUAAUGCCCACAUUGUCAGCAGGAGCAGAGGUUGUGCUUUUGUUGUUAUUUUCCCCAAGACAGUUUCAGGCCAGCAAGUUGUAGUGUCUUUUGGGCUCUGGGCUCUGAGGUUGAUUUGUGCAAGAUAACAGAGUGAUGCUCCCUCCCAGUACGUGGAGGACCAGCACCCCCUAACAGACCCUCCACACCACCUUUUGCAGAGGACAGCGUGCUCUGGUCCCUUUGGAGACAAUAUGCAGAGCAGAGGGCUUCUGCUCCCAGCCACGGCACCACAGAUCCUGCAACCUCACCAUGUCUAAGUCACAUCAACAGCUGGGAAUCACUUUAAACGUUGCACUCCUGUGAAUCUGCUGGGAGAGAGUCUCUAAAAUGAGCCAUUUAACCUUUUCACACACUCCUUUUUUGCCUUACAUCUGUGAAAAUAAAUCCUAUGGACAUAAGUACAUUAUGAUAUACAAACUCACCCUCUUUGCUCCAAUAAGUCUAUUCUUCCGGUGCAGUGCAGCACUGUAAAAUCAGAAUACAUUUCUUAUUUUCAAAGCAAUGUUCCGCUGUGCUGAAGCACAUUCCACUUCUCAGCAGUCUCUCUUCUUUCCUUGCUUUUGUUUUUAAUUGACUGUCUUUUGAGAGUAUAAAACAAAAAAUAAAUAUACACCCCCACACUGAUCUGUAGCUGGUUGAGGUGAGAUACUUGCCACGUACAAAGAGCACUUUCUGUUUUUCCUGAGACUUUUUGGUAAAACACAAUCUGAAAUUGUGGUUUAUUUUUUUUUUAACUUAACAUCUUCAGGAGAUUAUACAGAAGAGUAUCUGAAAGUGAAAAAUCCAAUGUCAGUCUCAGAUAGAAAAACAAGAUUUGUCUCCGGUUAAUCUUCUUAAUCCUUAACGGUCUUAUUCCUGUAGGUUUUUUCUCAUUUCCAUUUAGGAUGCUGAAGCAGAAGUUGGUAUUAUCUUAGCAUGUAAACCCUAAAGCCAGUAUCUUUCUUUAUCUCAGUCAUAGAGCACUUUCAAGUUAAAAAUAUGAAAAAGUGUAGGACAAUGAAUGAGAAGUGGCAAACAGGUAUCCCUGGAAUUCAGCUGAGGGGCUCCUGCAGAUGCUUUUGGGCAGGACUAGCAUGGUCUGUGGCUCAGCCCCAAGCUGUGCCGGGCUCUGUGGGGGGAAUCAGUGGGGCAGGAGCGUAACUGGGGGUGCUGGAGGGAACAGGGGCUGCAGCCACCACUUCCCCCAAAAACCUGAUAUCUGGUACCUGUUCUGACUUCAGAGGAGGGCUUGAAGAGGAGUUUUUCUUUAUGCCAUUCCUGUCUUGGCUUCUCUUUUUCUGAUUUCUCUUUCACUGCUCUUUUCCUAUCUGGUAGUAUUUUCCCAACUAUACUUACUUUCUCCUUUUUAAUUUUACUUCUUCCCACCCACUUCAAGGUUUCCUCUAACUCCUUCUGUCUUUUCUACAUCAAUCUUUCUGUAUUCUCUUCUCUAGUUCCUUUGUUAUCCCCUUUCCCAAGCUCUCUUCUCUCUAUAUCUUGGUCUAUACCUCCUCCCUGAUGGCUGGGUAAGGUGCUCCUUGCUUGUGUGAUUGCUAUGACAGCUCUGGACAGCUUCCACCUCUGUGGACUCCCUUUGGUGUCUUCCCAGUUCUUCCAGCUAAUGGAAGGUUGGACAGAUGAAGGACUGUACAGUCUAUCACACAAUUUACCUCUUCAAACUAAGCUUAGCCUCUAAAAGGCAAGAAAAGAAUAAGUUCAGCUGCACAAUAGAAGCUGCAGAACUUUCCUGAAUAAAAUGCUAAUUUCUCUGACAAUGUUCUAAAGCAGAUUUGCAGGGAAAAAAAUAGGGGUAGGACAAGAAAGUGUUAUAUUUUCUCUGAGAAUUUCUAGCUUCCAACUUGCAUUGUCUAAAACUUUUUGAGCCUGCAUUGCCUUUAUGUAUUUCUCCUCAAUGCAUAGUACAUGCCAGUGACUGUAAGGCUGAGGAGGAAAUGAUAUCUCCUAAACAAAUCCCUGCACAGCUUAUCUCAGGCAUUGUGUCUGCCUGUAUCUUUCUACAGCAGCUCACAGAGAUGGUCAAGGGCAGUGAUCAACGCUCUCAGCCAUUUCCCAAGUGAGAAGAGAGAACAUGAUUUGAAUCACUUGCAUGAUGCUUCUAUUUCAAUAAAGUUAAUGUAAGCCUUUCAGUGCUAAAUAUGGAAGGUAAAUUGUUGCUGCCUCUAAUCUCUGAUAUUGCUUGAGCUGCCAUUGCAAGAAUUGGGUAAACUUUUCUUUUAACAACACAGUUCUGAAUGAUUUGCCAGUCCCCACCUUUUAAAAUCUCAGCACAGCAGUGUGCCAGAAUGCAGGAAUUAGGCACUCAGCCCCUAAUGCCUCUCAUUUCCUCUCUGGCAUCAAUUUAGAUUCAGUCUUCACUGGUAUUUUACCAGUGGUAGCAAAAAGUGUUACAAUCUAGAUUUUAAGUGGUUCCUUCUCUCUGUGUGGUUUUUGUUUGUUUGUUUGUUUGUGGUUUUUUUUUUGUUUUCUUGUUUUGUUUGGUUGUUUUUUCCUGUGGGGUGUUUUUUUUUUUUUCCACUGAACUUUUUAUUUGUUAAGAAUUAAUACAGAUUUGUUCACCUGAGGAUGAAUUUAAUAAAUUGUUUUGUUUGGAAAAGUGUUUUUGUGGUUUUUAUCAAUUAGAUUGUUAAUAUUGGAGUCUUGUGUUUCUCACCUUGUUUCUACCUAUGUAUUUUCCCUUGUACUCACUAGACACAGAACGACUAGUCACCUAAAAUGUACCAGAUGUAGGUUCAUGUUAUUUUCUCUGCCUCAGAGGAUGCUUUCCUAGAGAGCAGCAAACAUUGGCUUUCUCUCUAAUACUGAUUCUGGUGCAGUCAGUGAAUCAGAGCUAUCAGUUUAUAGGUGAUUGAGUGCAUCCCUGGAUCCCACCUGGCCCUGGGUGAAGCAUUUAGAUUGCUUACAUGGCCCCACAUUCCAAAGCCUGGAUGCAUUAGUUAAACCAGUUUACUUGUUGGACACUUGUCCUCUGUAGUUCUUGGCAUAGCCAUCACAAACAGAUCACCAUUUAACCUAAUGGCUGUGAAGACUUUGUCCUUGAUAAUCCUAAUAGAUCUUUUUUUCCAGAGUCUCACUCCUCUGAGGGUGGGAAAGUGGCCUAACAGCCAAGCUGCAGACAGGACCCAUGCAUGUCCAUCCUUUGCACCUGUGCAUGAUGUGUUUUCUGUUAGCUCUUCUCUGUUUGUCCUCCAGCUGUGCUUGUGCAGUAAACAUCUUGUUCCAGCCCUCAUCAAGCUCAACUAAAUAAGCUAAACUGCUAAGUUUCAUCUAUAAAAAAGAUCCUCUUCAGCCUAGUCAUCUCAAUUAUCCUUUGUUCAUCUCUUUGAAUACACAACUGGAAUACUAUGUGGUCUGCUGGAUAAGUUAUAGUUUCAUUGCAGGAAUGAUUUUGUUGUUUGACCCUAAACAAAAACUCUUAGCUUUUAUUUCACUUGGAAAACCCUUUUUUUUUUUUUUUUUUCCCAAUUAGGUGGACAUCUUCAGAGAAUACUUUUAAGUGUUUUGUUUUGGCACUAGAAUUGAUAAAACAAUUACUAUCCUGCUAGGUGCUUUCUGUUGUUAUUUGCUUAGUGCAUUUGCAAGUACUUUUAAAACCUUGAAAUGCUUUUGCCUUCUGAUAAUCUAGCCUUCUCAUGAUGGUAAAAUGCCAAUCAGACCAGAAUCCAUGACCUAUCAAUCUAAAUGGGAGAGACGCCUCAAUACCCAUGAAGAUCUAGGCCCUUGUCAGGACACC